rnacentral:misc_RNA from 1 species
AAACCGAAGGCUGUGUGAUCCCUGGUCCGUGUUUGUUGAAAUCGUCCAAUAUGCUUUGUUGAUCAGCUUUCUUAAAUCCCUUAAGUUCCAAAAUUCGCUGAAACUCCAUCAGAGUUCCUUCCGGCAGUAGUGCACGAUAUGUAUCUGCCACAGAAUCGAUGGGAGAAAGUAUAACCUUCAAAAGAGCUUCAGCUUUGCUCAUCUCACGGCUUACAAAUUUUGAGUAGCUAGCG